CUCUUUCGGCGGGAAUAUCCUCUCCUUCUUUCUCCCUCCCUCCCUGUCCCUCCCUAUAAGAAUUCCCCGACUGCUGUAUCGGUCUUCGAUUUUCCCCUCUUUGCUCUUGAUCGUCCUCUCGCUCGCUCCAUUCGUUUCAUUCCCUCAACCCUAAUUUUGCAAAUCUUGGAACCCUAAUUCGACGAUCGUUCCAAGAAAUCCUAGGUUGGGCCAAUCAAUCAAGAAGAAGGGAUGGACACAGAAGGGCUUUCGAUCAUCUGCGCGGGCCUCGGAUUUGCCGAAGAGGACGAGAACGGGAUUGUGACGGGCUAUUCUAAGAGCGAGUAUUGUUUAGAUAAUUUAAAGGAUCUGCAGAGAUUUCUCCGACGAGAUGAUCCGCAGCGGAGAGAUGUAUUCAAACAGAUUUGCAAGUGGAACACGGUGUCCCGUGAUUUGAUCCCGAUCAUUGAACAUUAUCAGAGCGAUUGGCAUUUGGUGAUCGGUGCCGUGAAAAUUUUGGUGUUCCUUACAAUGCCUAUAGAUCCUGCAUCCGAUGAUAUUGCACAGCAGAUAGAGUAUCUGUGGGAUUUAAAGGCUGCAAUGACACGUAAUGUCACGGUUGCGGUCAUAGUCUCUCUUCUUGAAGACCCGUUGGAACAUCUGGAAUGCAAUGCAUUUACAGAGGACGACUGGAAGCUGGUUCAGCUUGUGCUUACCCUUUUUCGAAACCUCCUAGCCAUCCAAGAAAUUACAUUGCAGCAGAAGACAUCUGGAUCCGCUACUCAGUUUAUGUGUCUGACAGAUAGAUUUCUGGAGCUCAUGUUUCAGGAGAAUGUUAUGGACUUGAUCUUAGUACUCACCCAGCAUGUUGAUUCUUCUGCUUAUCUUCAGCAAGACAAUUUGCUUUUACUGGAGAUUUUCCACUAUAUUGUUCUGGGUCGGGACCCAGAGUUGAUUGCUGGAGCUUCAAGACAGGGUUCCAAGGUUACUGGAGAUAUCACAACUUCUGUAGAUUCUCUCAGGUCAAUUAUGGAGGAGGAAGGGAUAAAAAGAAGGAACAUGAGGCUAAGGAACUUUGAACGUCAUUCACAAUUUAGUGGAACAUUUACCUGCCUUACCAUGGAUGGCUCUAAAACAUUAUUUAAAGGCAAUCCAUCUUCUGCCUCUGGAAAUGGCUUGCUAAAUGUUCGUAAGGUUCAACGAGGUCCAUUAAAAAGAACUGCAUGGGAUCAUGGGAGCUUGUCUUUGCCAAAGGAGAGUACUUUGGAGUUGUUACACAACUUCUUGAAUCAGUUUCUAUCAGGAGGCUACAAUGUUUUGAUGCAGUCCCUUCGUGAAGAUAUCAAUAAGGAGCAUCAAUCCAUUCAGAACACUGAUGUCAUUACAUUUUUCCAGCUUGCUCGUUUUGUUUUAGCUUUUCAAUAUCGGAAGGCCUCAAGUUCAAAGAAACCUGGCAUAGAGGGACCUACAUCUGAGGCUUUGCCUGACCACGAGAAUGUAGAAAACCUAUCAUUCCAUGGGAAUUUAUGUGGACCUAUUGCAGCAACCAUUAAUGAAGCCAUGUUCCUUUUAGUCAUAUCCAAGUGGCGUGAGGCUUUUGAGGGAUUGAAAGAAACUAAUAACCACAAAUCUCUAUCAGCUGCAGGAUCUCUGAUGAAAAGCAUGAUUUGCAUGUUAGAUUUAGUGCUGAAGUUAUUGCCUGAAGAUGCAAAAGAACCUCGGACAGCUCGAAUACUUCUAUAUAAGUUAUUUUAUGAUCAGACGGAACAAGGGUUGACACAAUUCCUCUUAAACCUGUUCAAAUCUUUCGACACUCAUAAACAACCUAAAAGUGAUCUUGCAGAUUUGCUGGAAAUAAUACAUGUGGUAUUACGUCUUAUGGAGAAGCUUCAAGCACAUGGAACAUUAAGGGUUUCUAAAAAAUCAAGAAAGGUCAGAAAAAAGAAGACACAGAAAGAAAAUGAUGAAGUAGAGGCUGAAAAACUGAGAGAACAUGCCAAUACCUGGAAUGCUGAUGAGCAGACAAAUGAGAUUGGAAGGCCUACUUCUCAACCAUUUACUAAUUCAAACAACUUGGUUACCAAGGAACCUUCAGCAAUAUCAGUUUUUGUGGACAAGGGAGGUGCUAACCAAGAAGGCAACUCAGUCCCUAAUCCUGUUGCAGAGCCUGACAUGCCUUUGCAGGAUACAGGACAUCUUGAAGAUGACUUAUCUAUUUUGGAUAGGGACAAGGAGAAUAAUCCCAUUGCUCUCGCAUAUGAAACAGCAGAUUCUUCAAAUGAUGAUCAGCUCCCUGCUACAACUGAAGUUGAUUUUAACAUAUCCAGGUUGGUUACAAGUUUUGCGAACAAUGCUGUUUUACAUAAUUUGUGCUGGUUGCUGAAAUACUAUAAAAGCAACUCUGCUAGUACAAACCACUACAUCAUAUGCAUGCUGCGGCGUUUCUGUGAUGAUCUGGAGAUUUCUCCGAUGCUCUACCAGUUAUCGCUCCUCACCACAUUUUAUGCUAUACUAGCUGAUGAAAAAUCAACAUCUAAAGCAUAUGCAAAUAUUGUAAAUUUUCUCACCAAACUUGUAAGGAAGAUGUUGAAGAUAAUGAAGAAACAGCCAUUACUUUUUGUUGAGAUUCUCUUUUGGAAGGCACGCAAAGAAUGCCACUGUAUCAAUGCGGAAGCUUUAAUGAGUGAUAUUGCCAAUUUAAAGAAAGACAUCAGAGUUUGGGAUAAUGAUGAAGUUGGUUUGCCAAAUGGAGGGUCAAUCCAGAAAAGCAUAGCGGACUCGCUUGGUGAUGAUGAAGCUGAUCUUAUACCACAUGAUAUUCAUGAUCAAAGGGAGGAAAUUUUAUCUGACGGAUCUCGUGAAGAUGAUCUCUGCCAAACAAAGCAAACUAUGGGCAAAAGGAACAACAAGAGAUCCACUUUAAACAAUGAGCCUGAGAAGGACAGAAGCUGUAGAAGAAAAAGAGUACGAGCCUUUAACAAGGAACAGGAGCUUGAGAUCAAAGUCCUAUUCGAAAGGUUUAAGAAUCAUAGGAGGUGCAGUCACAUGAUUGCAAAAGCUUUGGAUGGUGAUAACACAUACACUGCAGCUCAAGUUUCUCGUAAACUCAAGCAACUUGGUCUGCUUGCUCCUCAAGAAAAGAGGUCAACUAAUGUUGAGAAACUCUCAUGCAAUAAGGAAAUCAUUGACAGAGGAGAGCAGUCUGAUGAAGAAACUUUACUAGCAAUUAAACUAAGAAGCCAAAGAACAAAGAGCAAGCUGUUAGUGAAGGAGACUCCAAUGACAAGCAUAUCUCAGCAUAAAGAAACAUCUACAGGGCAAGAUUCUGAUUUCAAGACUUUAAGCACCAUAUUCAACUGAAUAUGCUGAAGCCAAGGAAGGAAAAGUAAAUCAUUCAUGAAGGAGGGUACAAUUGCUAGCAUCUGUCACCACAUGGAGACAUCAGUGGAACGAAAUUCCAAUGAUGAGACUUUAAGCACAAUGUUCAAGCGUGCCGAGUUUCUUUUAUCCCCAAAUAAACUAAUUUUCAGUUUCAUUCAUGCAAGUAUCAGUCUUCUUUCUUUCUUUUUUUUUUUAAAUCUGCAUACGAGCUUGAUGAAACGCACCAGGAAUGAUCAUGGGUAACUAUUUUUGAAGGAGAGGGUUAUGAGCCCUCCCUAGAUUUUAUUAGAGUUUAUUACAAGUUUGAGCAACAAAUAAUAUAUAUUUGGCAAUAAAUAACAGUUUGUUAUCCAGAUCUCUUGUUCAUUUUAAGGAUGUUUUUCUUCCACUAGUUACAAUGCACAUGCAGGUGCACUUGGUUUCAAAGGCUUUUAAGAUUUGAGAUAGUUUAAUUAAAAUCUAAAUUCUAAAAAUAUCUGGAAAAAUUAUUUCAAAAAAUCUAAAAAUAAUUAACUCGUGAUUAUUUUUCUAAUGUGUUAAAUUUCACCUUUGUCUCAUAGCUCAAAAGUAUGUUUUAGCUCCUCUGUUAAAAAUUUUGAGUCUAGAUAUUUUAGAAGUUUCUGAAUUUUUACUUUCUUGCCAAAUUGAAAUUUGUAUCACCUGUUGAUUAAGAAGAUCUCCCCUCUUUUUCUUAUUCUCAAACUCUAGCAAUUUUACAAUUCCUUCCUCUACAGAAAUCUUGCAUGUUUUCUUAGGACUUCAAAGGGAGUAAUUUAAUUAGAGUUGCUAUCUAAAUGUUUUAGAUUUUUGAUGGAAUAAUUUGCUUAGGGCUGUUUUUGGGAUUGAAAAAUUGAGAAAUUAAGAUUCUUUUAUAUAGUUUACGGAUUAAUAAAGAAAAUCAUCCAUAAUUUCCAAAUGCUUAUGUCCUAGUUGACCCAUUAAAUCCACACCUUGGCCAAGAUUCAAAUAUCUUCUGAGUAUUUCGUCAACAACUUAAAAUUGUUGGAAAAUUAUAAUAUGCUUGAUUAAUUUGUCAAAAAUAUGAUAGUCUUUGUUGACCUACUUGAAAUAAAACAAGUUUACAAUUUUGCCGCCAAAAUUCACCCUGCCUUUUAAUUGUUCACAAGCACCCUAUGAUUGGUUGCAACUUUUCAGAUGCACGAGCAUUACCUUUCUUCAGGGUCCACUUUUCUUAUAUAAGGUGCAGACUAGAGAUCAGCCCAAGCCUUAGAGGCAGCAACUGAAGCAGGUUUUAUCCACUUUUUGAAUCACACUUGUUUGGGUCAGGUUGUGUCAACUUCUAAGUUUAAAAGCAACUUAUAUAAUCAAAGGUCUUUUAACUCAUACUGCAUUGAUUAGUUAGCUAUGUGUGACUGAAUGGUUCAGGUUUUGUCGGGUUUUAAACUUAAAAGCAACUUAUAUAACUGGAAGUCUUUUAACUCGUACCACAUUGAUUAGUGAGCUGUCUGACUGGAUGUAUUUAAUACAAAGUCUUGUAGAUUGUGCAGGGCAUGUAUUUUUGAAGAUUUUUAUCCUAAAACUUGUUGCUUAAUACAGCACUUCAUAGUUCUGAACUGCAAAUACUCCCACAUACAAGAGACAUGGUCUCGCAGCAUGAGUUGGGCCCAUCUCAUAAAGGUGAACAUGAAGCGGUUGUUUUUGCUGCUAUGGAUGAUAGGUUUCAGGCUGAGCUGGAUAACCUUGGUAAUAGAGAACAAGAUGGAGUCAAUGAGUUGGAGGACUUGGUCGACUCUGGGGA